CUCCACGGAAAGUUCCAAAAAGGCUGAAGCAGAAUUACAUAAAUUUUAUUUUGAUGAUGAUAUUUACGAAUCCUCUGAUCUUCUCCAUGAUGAGAAUGGCUUCCCGCCCUUACAACAAGAUGAUGAAGAAGAGAAAGCAAAGAGCUUUGCGUCUGAUUUUUAUCAGUGCGGAAACGACUGGUCUUGUUUGUUGCAAACAAAAAGGAAUUUGAAACAGGCUAAUUUGUUUUAGAUAUGGGUUAUGGGGGUUAAACACAGAAUCAUAAUCAGAUUUAGAUGCCAAUGGCUCCGUUUCACCUUCCGGUAAGAAACUCUAGACUGCAACAAAAUCCAUAAGUACCCGUUUGAAGAACCGGGUUCAACGCCCUUGCCCUUCAUAAAAAAAGAUUCCUGGUUGGAUUUUUUUUGCUACCCGCUUCGUUGUUUGCUUUCAGAGUCCAUUCUUAAGCCUAAAGUUUAUUGCUUUGUUGUGAUGAAUGAUGAUGAAUCCCUUUUGGUUAUACAGGAGCACUUUCACUGUUGAUGCAUUUCGCUAUUGGGGAAUAGAAGGUCUUUUUUUUUUGCUUAUUUUCGUAGUCAUUUUCACUAUGAUCAAUUUGUUGGUCUAAGCAAAUGACGGUCACAUGGACCUCUUUAUCGCAGUCCUCUGACUGCUCGCCUUGUUAAGGAGCGAAGUGAAAUUGCUAGAGGCUAAUCACUGCCCAGGUGCAGCUCUAAUUAAUUUUCGUCUCCAAUAUGGACAAUGCGUUUUGCACACUGGUGAUUUCAGGGCGUGUAAGCUGAUGUAAACUUACCCUCUGCUUGUAUGCCAUCGAGUUAAUGUGCUUUGCUUGGAUACUACAUAUUGCAACGCAAAAAUAAAAGUAAGCAGCUUCUUAUGAGAACUUUGUUAAGUGGUGGAUUUUAUGCUAUCUUUCUGUAUAUUUCUUUAAAUAAUUUGUGUAAUAUUUUCCUUGUUUCUGGUUUCCAUUAUCAAAGUUACUAAAAACUUUCUUGGGAAACAAUCCAGAACUCUUGUUAUUGUUGGUGCAUAUAGCAUUGGGGAAGAAUGUGUCUUUUCUUGCUUUUUCUUAGGCAUUAGGGGUAUUUAUGUUCACCUUUUAGUAUAAUUUCUUCUAUGUAUUUUAGACUGUUCCCAACUGCAUCUUGUAGAUGAGUCCUGAUUUCACAACAUACAUUUACUUACAUGCACCUCUCGGUUUUGUACUGCUACUCAUAAGAGUGGUUCUUGUAACUUUUAUCGUCAGUGGGAAUGUGAUUGGUUUAAAUUUUGCUAAACAAUAUCAUUCACAAUGUUUUGGGUUAAAAUAUGCAAUUUUCCACGGAGAAGGGUUUUGCAGUCCUUUGAUUGGCAUGAGUUUUCUGGGAGUCUCUGUACACAGCGAAACACUUCUGUACUUGAUGUGCUUAGCUGUGUGGAGUUGAGUAUUGUUUGACUCAAUUGUAUUUAGGCAAAAUUUGAGCUUCAGCUCACUGACUUGGAAGGUUCUUGACACAAGCUCAAACUUGAGGCAUAGUGAUUUUAGGAUUACGUGAAGACCUACACAAAUCAGUAUGCAGCAGUAUUGGCAUUUUGGCCAAUAGGUUGGACUUAAUAAGAGAGUAUGUGGAACCAACUCAGUUUCAUUAAGCCUAUCUAUAGAGGCAAUAUUACAAUUUAUGGAGUUCCAUAUAGUAAGCAGCACUAAGUUUCACAGAGCUGUGAGAUUUUGUUCAGAUCAUGAACGAACUUCUACCGUUUCCCAGUUUUUGAGGCCCGACAGGGAAUGCUGCUAACGAGACUAGUUGCAAUCCUGUUUCAGAGAGUGGCUUAAAGGUUAAAUUCUUGCACAAGUAGAUAAAUUUGUGGAUCUCCACACCACCCACCCCCUCCCAAGAUUGGCCAAUGUAGACACAGUUUUUGCUUUCAGAAGCCAAAAUUCCUGAACAUAGGAUUUUUUUGAGUGUUGUGUGAGUGCCCAUGGUUGCGGAGCUAAUGACUGAUCAUUGGCACUAACUUCUGCUAAUUUGUUUCAAUUUUAGUGUAUAAAAUUUUAUCCAUAGGCGUUAAUUCCAAGAAGAAUAAUUAAAAUGCUAAAAGUACACUGCAUCUUUGACAGAACCGUAAUAUUCAUAAUUGAUUCAUAUAUGAAUUUAUAUUUUGAGUUGUGAUA